rnacentral:rRNA from 1 species
AUACGUAGGUGACAAGCGUUAUCCGGAUUUACUGGGCGUAAAGGGCGUGUAGGCGGUCUUGCAAGUCAGAAGUGAAAUUCCUGAGCUCAACUCGGGCGCUGCUUCUGAAACUGCAGGACUUGAGUGCUGGAGGGGAUAGCGGAAUUCCUAGUGGAGCGGUAAAAUGCGCAGAUAUUAGGAAGAACACCGGUGGCGAAGGCGGCUAUCUGGACAGUAACUGACGCUGAGGCGCGAAAGCGUGGGGAGCAAACAGGAUUAGAUACCCUGGUAGUCCACGCUGUAAACGAUGAAUACUAGUUGUAGGGGGUAUCGACUCCCUCUGUGCCGCAGUUAACACAAUAAGUAUUCCGCCUGGGGAGUACGGCCGCAAGGUUGAAACUCAAAUGAAUUGACGGGG